rnacentral:rRNA from 1 species
UACGAAUGGGGCAAGCGUUGUUCGGAAUCACUGGGCUUAAAGCGUGCGCAGGCGGUUCUGCAAGUCAGAAGUGAAAGCCCGGGGCUUAACCCCGGAAUUGCUUUUGAAACUGCAGAACUAGAAUAUGGGAGAGGUUAGCAGAAUUCCGAGUGUAGAGGUGAAAUUCGCAGAUAUUCGGAGGAAUACCAGUGGCGAAGGCGGCUAACUGGACCAUUAUUGACGCUCAGGCACGAAAGCGUGGGGAGCAAACAGG